GCGAGUCUUCGAUCAUCGUAACAUCGAAGUCCAUAUCGGAAGGAAACCCUACAUCGGAAGCAUUUACUGUCUCCCUCUUCUGAUCCACCGAUUAGAUUUGGGUCUGGGCGGAGAUGGCGACGGGAUCGGGCAUGUUCAAGUUCCUUCGGCCGCGCCUCCGCCCUCAGCCGACGGACGUCGCCGCGGCCGCCACUUGGGGCGUCGCCGCUACCGCCACCGCCGUCUGGCUCAUCCAGCCUUUCGAUUGGUUGAAGAAGCAACUUUUUCAAAAUCCUGAGCCUGAGAAGUGACUUCUGUCACAGAAACUUGCAAGAACUUCUGUUUCCCAUAUCGGGAAAGUAAAAAAGUUUGGCUGAAAUAAAGAUGCAUCACUUUUAUUUUCCACAUGACUGCGGGCCUAUAGAACCUGUGAUGACUUGCUUGUGAAGUUUCGUUGCAUCAGCCAUCAACUGAAAAGUUGUGUUUUUUGUCCAGAUAAUUUCUGACUGAUAUGUGAGUAUGAUUUUAUUUCAAGCAUGAUCAAUGUCCAGUAACAAACCCAGCAUUUGUACCAACAGUAGAUGAAUCAUGAUACUAUUUUGCAGGA